GAGGUGCAGCAGAAAAUGGAUGAGCCUCCACAAGAGGCUCCAGAUGGAUCCUCGAACAGUGAAAACCCAGGCCAGUCCCCAAAUAACCAGGAGACCUACAUAGAAGGAGGAGCAGGCCAAGCUCCUCAAAGAGGUUCUGAAGAUGCUGGGGUUGGACCAUCCGAGCAAACUGGUGACAAGGCAUCCAACCAAGAUGCUAGUGCAGGAUCCGGACAGACUGACCAAAGAACUUCAGAAGAGGCUUCUCAGCCGACUGACCACAGGUCCCCUGGUCACACUGACAGGAGACCAUCUCAGCAGGUUGACCGUAGAUCAUCUGGCCAGGCUGAGAGAAGAACUUCUAAGCCAACUAGUCAGCAACUGCCCAGCCUACACGAGAGAAAAGUCUCCGAGAAGAUAGAAGACCAAGCGUCUUUGCCAUCUGGUGGGAAAACUUAUGAGCAGCCUGAUGAAGGAACUUGGGAGUAUGGGGAGCACACCUUAUCAGACCAAGCUGACUAUAGAACAUCAGGAAAGAGUCAACGCCAGUUCACCAACCAAGCUGAUGUCCUGGAUGAAGAUGCCACUGAUCAACGUAAGUUUAGUGAAGGUUCAGAAAGGAACUAUGACAGUACUAGCCAUGAGACAGAAAAACCGGCUGACUACCGUUCAUACUACAAAACAAUUGCCCAGGCUGAGAACCGGUCGUUAUCUGAUAUCGGUGACACCAAAGAGGUCAAAGAAGCUGACUUCAAAAUAGAGCCUUGCACAUUUGAAGAUAGCCAAACGGACCUCAAAUCCAAGGUUUCAACUGCUGGAGAAACAGAAAGUACAACCACUAUCCAAGCUUACAACCUACACGAUACCGAAUUCACCAGUGACUCACAGUCCUCGUACGAAAAACUGCCCUCCAUCAUGACCAAAACGUACUAUUCCUCCAGCCAAGACAAAUUUCAAAGCACAGAAAUCACUACUGAUAUUCAAACCGAAAUUGAGCAAAGAAAGGGUUCUCAGAGAACCAGUCAAACCUACACGAGGCGGUUCCCUCCAAUCAUUUUUGAAGACCCUUAUCAAGUUGCACUCCGCUACAUGGAAAAGCACAACAUUCUCCAGAUAUUCCAGCAUAUCACUGAAAACCUCGUCUAUGAAAAGCCGGAUGAUCCCCUGUAUUUCAUGCUCGACCAGGUACAGGAGAUGAUCAGAUACAGGGAACAGCGGCGAAGCAUCUGAAGACGAGCCUCUCGCCAGCCUCAUGUCCUCUGCCAUCGGUGGCCGCGCUGCGCUCGGCUCUCACACGACAAAUGUGUUUUCAGUAGGCAUUGGUGGUGACUCUGCCUAAAUAUGUUCUCGAUUUUUAGAUAAAGAUACUGCCUGCUGAUGUCAGCCUGGAAGAUGAGCUGAAAGCUGAUUGACCAGCGGGAACCUAUGGAACAAACUAGAGUGAUGUAAACUAAUUGGGUGGUCGAACAAAAUAACCUAAGGACUGAGAGGCCAUUCCUAUUAUUAGUGACAGGAAUAUGGAGUAUUAGCCAUGGUGUAUUAGCAUUGAAUCCAUGCCAGGUUGGUGCUGCAUACUUUUAAUUCUAGCAUUUAAAAACCAAAGAAGGACAAUCUGAAGUCCAAGACCAGCCUGGGCUAUGUAACAAGAUGAUCUCAAAUAUAAAAGGAAACAAAAAGGGACCUGAUAAAAUGGCUCAGUGCAUAAAAGCACUUUCCUCAAAAGCCGGACAACCUGAGGUCAACCCCUGAAUCUCACAGUCAAAUGAAGGAACUGACUCUGGGAGGGGGUAAAAAAGUUGUCCUCUGACCUCUACACUGUCAUUGCGGUGCACGUGUCCCACCAUGUCUUCCCCCACACCACCAUGCCCUCACCACACAUGCAUCAUACACAUGCCACACACAGACCUUCACAGCAAUAAUACUACUAAAGAAAAAUCAACGUUGAAGCAUUGAAUUUAGUUCAUGUUUGGCCCUAGUAUUAGCAAGUUUUCUCAAGUUUCUAGAGGCAGAACACCUCAGAUCCAACCUCUCCGGCAGCUGCAGCUCCACCCUUAGGUUGUUUCGGAUGCCUUUCGUCACCGUCAUCGUCCAUUUGUGACCUUCCAUAGUGAGGCAGUGGACCAAAGGGGACCAGCUGCCUGUGAUUCCUUCUGCACAUAGUUACCUGAGAAAGAAGAAGAUGUACACAACACUUCACACGCAGUGACUCAGGCUCUCUCCAGAAAGGCAUCCAGUGCAGAUCGACCAGCAGGAGUCCCUCAGCAGCAGGAAGUAGUCCCUCACAGGCCAGAAGUAAACACUCAACGUGGGAAUCUGAGAGCAGACAACUGUGGAGCAGAAAUGGGUUGGGGGAACAGGUGGGACUCUCGGAAUUGGCCCUUUAUGAGUAAAAUGCAGAGAAAGUCUCAGUGGA